rnacentral:rRNA from 2 species
GACGAGCUCUCCGAACGUUAUUCGGUAUCACUGGGCUUAAAGAGUUCGUAGGCGGCUUUGCAGGUGAGGUGUGAAAGCCCACGGCCUAACCGUGGAAUUGCGCUUCAAACCGUAGGGCUAGAGGGAUACAGGGGUAAGCGGAACAGAUGGUGGAGCGGUGAAAUGCGUUGAUAUCAUCUGGAACACCGGUGGCGAAGGCGGCUUACUGGGUAUUUUCUGACGCUGAGGAACGAAAGCUAGGGUAGCGAACGGG